AGAGAGAAAAAGCGAAGUGGGGCGAGCGAGCAGCGACAGAAAAGCAGACCUAACAGCGUGAGGGCAGCGACCUAGCCGGCGCCCUCGCAACCGCCUCCGCCUCCUCUCCUGCCGCCACCGCCGCCGCCGCCUCCACCACCUCCUCCUUCCCUGCCUCUCCUCCUCCCGCGUCUCCUCAUCUCCUCCUUCUACUUCCGUGCUCAAUAGGAGGAGCCGGGGUCGCUGCCCCCCGACCAUGGUGACAGACGGCGACAACGGCGGUCUAGGUUGGGUGGGUCAUGGCCGACCAGCAGCAGGCAGUCCAUGGCGGCGGCGGCCAGAUUUGCGCCGGGACAGCUGCGACUCAUCCUCAAGAUUCGGUUUGGUUUGCUUGCUUUUCCCACUGCCUGCAGUCCCGCUUUUCAUCCUCACGAUUGAAGAGGAGCAUGGAUUGCUUUCCUCUUCAGUCUCUUCUUCUUCCCUCCCAUUAUUCCUUCAACGAUGUUCCUCUUCGAUUUGUUUGUGCAGCAUCACUAACUCAACUCCAUGCAUAUGCAGAUGCAGGGGGAGGAGAGGACCGCUACUUUAAUUCUCUGAUUUUUUUGUGAGAAUUAAGAUGGAUGGCUUCUCGUGUAGAACUCAGUUUACAUAUAUUUUUUAUUUUAUAACUAGACCUAUGCUUUUAUCAGGUUUUCUUAUGAUGUGUUCAUAUUUUGUAGGAAGAGCAUCUUCAUAUCAGGAAGAAAAAUCAUCGGUGGAAGCUACUGACCAUGAGGAUUUACAUCAGUGACCUUCACUCGGGUUGUAAGUAGAUAUAAUGCAGUAAGGACUUCUAUUCUUGCGAGUCUGGUUAGAUGCACUUGUGAAUGGCUGCUAAGAAAAAAGGCCUCGGAGUGUAGAGAAGGUUUCUGAGAUAUGCAUGCCAAAUAUCUUGCUACUUUGGCAUUUUUGUAGGCAGAUCUGUAGAUAUAAAUAAAGUUGGUUCUAAUGUGAUACUCUCAAUUUCUUCCGGUGUAUGAUAUUAUGAAGGUUGGGGAAUUUAUAUUUACACGAGAUAAAUUAUGAUGUACUCAUGUUUCUUGAACUGAUGACCAUCACUACAUCAAGAUGGCUGGUGAAUAAAGCGUGUCAUGUGUUUCAUGAUGUGUUACCAUAUAUAUACUAUUUGCAGGAAUUUUAUAUGUUGAUUAGCAUACUCUCACUCUAAUGUAUACAUUGCAUGAGCUCCCAACAUCCAUAACAAUUUUUCUCAUUCAACAUAUUUAUAUAUUUAUCUGCCUGAUUAUGCUCAUUCAAGUGUUGUUGCCAUUUAGGCCAUUCCAUUUUUUUCUUGCAGGCGUUGACAAACUGUGAAAUUCUUUGUUGAGUUCCUUUCAAAUGGGCACUGAAGUAGACAAGCCUAAGGCUGACCAAGUUACCUAUGGUGGGGCUCAAGGACGUGAGGCAAUUACUGCCAAACUGGCCGCAUAUUUUCUCAUGUAAGCUGGCAGCAACCGUGUCAUUGCAGGCAGGAUUCGUGCCCCUGCACCUCCAGGUUCCACUCCGUCACAUGUCCCUUCCUCCCUCCUUUCCAAUAGGUAUGCCCAUGUAUGUUUAGCUGAUGUGAUCUGUUCUUGCGUCUUGCUCUCCUGUCAAUGAGAACCUCAUGGAGCUCUUCAUCAUGAUUGAUGCAUGUCAGCGGGCCUCAGCGCGAUCUAUUACCGUUGUCAUUCUCUACUUUGGAUAUGCUAGAGGAGACAGAAAGUUUUGCAGGUAGUGAGGGAGGAUGGACACGAGAAGAGUGACACUGCCAUCUUCACAUAUGAAGUUUCGUUAUGAUAUAUUUCAUUCCAUUUUAUUUUUAUCACACGCCUAGAAGCUUUGCUUUAGCUAAGAUUUUUAGUUCCAUUCAUUAGUUCUGGACAGUUUGACAAUGGCCAACCAUCUAUCAUGCACAGGUGCAGGGUACAGUUUGACAAUGCACAGGUGCAGGGUACAGUAGUCAGUGUUCGUAUAUUCAACAUAUGGUCCAUCUUAUGCAUACAAGGUGCUAUCUUGGCAUGGAUACAACCUGCAACCAUAUGCACAUGAAGUGUGUAUGUUCUAAGAGGAGCACAAUUUCAGAAGAGUAUUUUUUUAUUUGAAGUGGUUUGAUUUUCUAUCGAGACUUUUAUAUCUAGCAUCAUUUUGGAUCUUAUGUAAAAAAUAUGAUAAUCAUGUCCGUAUGACUAUCAUCAAUCCGUACUUACUUCCA